UGCAGAUGAUGUGAGAAUAUUUGCUAUCUGAACAGCAAUGCAGACAAUCUUCCACCAAGAUCACUGAUGCA
rnacentral:snoRNA from 1 species